rnacentral:other from 1 species
AUGAGCCUGCCUUGUGCGUAGAAUAUCUUUGGUUUUGAUCCUAUUAUUGACACGGGAACUGUCGUGGAUAAGUUAGUACAUCAGGCCCAGAAUAAAUGGGAGGAUGAAAAGUUUAUUCCAGGUGCCCACCUGCGAGAGCGGGGUCAGAAAACCGGGAGUUUUACGGCUAUGGCGGGUAUGGU